CACAAACUUCACCCACAGCAGACAUGACUUUGACCAUCAUCUUCAUCUGGACUCUGAUCUUCUGGACUCAAGAAUCCAGAGGUCAGGCGACUGUGACUCAGACUCCUGCAGUGAAAUCUGCUCUUCCAGGAGAAACAGUCACCAUCAGCUGUAGAACCAGCGCUGCAGUGUACAGUGACAGUCAUGGUCAGCGUCUAGCCUGGUACCUGCAGAAACCUGGAGAAGCUCCUAAACUCCUGAUUAAACUGAUUAACAGUAGAGAGUCAGGAACUCCAGCUCGUUUCAGUGGCAGUGGAUCUGGAUCUGACUUCACUCUGACCAUCAGUGGAGUCCAGACUGAAGAUGAUGGAGAUUAUUACUGUCAGAGUUUACAUCAAAUCAGCAGUGUCUGGUGGUUCACACAGUGA